GCCGGGCGUGGUGGCGGGCGCCUGUAGUCCCAGCUACCAGAGAGGCUGAGGCAGGAGGAUCCCUUGAGCCCAGGAGGUCAAGGCUGCAUUGAGCCAUGUUCAUGCCACUGCACUCUAGCCUAGGCAACAGAGUGAGACCCUGUCUCAA
rnacentral:SRP_RNA from 1 species